rnacentral:rRNA from 1 species
ACUCCUACGGGAGGCAGCAGUGGGGAAUAUUGCACAAUGGGCGCAAGCCUGAUGCAGCCAUGCCGCGUGUAUGAAGAAGGCCUUCGGGUUGUAAAGUACUUUCAGCAGUGAGGAAGGUGGGUAUGUUAAUAGCAUACUCAUUUGACGUUAGCUGCAGAAGAAGCACCGGCUAACUCCGUGCCAGCAGCCGCGGUAAUACGGAGGGUGCGAGCGUUAAUCGGAAUUACUGGGCGUAAAGCGCAUGCAGGUGGUUUGUUAAGUCAGAUGUGAAAGCCCGGGGCUCAACCUCGGAAUUGCAUUUGAAACUGGCAAACUAGAGUACUGUAGAGGGGGGUAGAAUUUCAGGUGUAGCGGUGAAAUGCGUAGAGAUCUGAAGGAAUACCGGUGGCGAAGGCGGCCCCCUGGACAGAUACUGACACUCAGAUGCGAAAGCGUGGGGAGCAAACAGGAUUAGAUACCCUGGUAGGCUCGC